UAGAGUUUGAUCCUGGCUCAGAUUGAACGCUGGCGGCGUGCCUAACACAUGCAAGUCGAGCGGUAACAGGUGUAGCAAUACAUGCUGACGAGCGGCGAACGGGUGAGUAAUGCUUCGGAAUCUGCCCAAUGGUGGGGAAUAACUAGCCGAAAGGUUAGCUAAUACCGCAUACGACCUACGGGUGAAAGCAGGGGAUCGCAAGACCUUGCGCCGAUGGAUGAGCCGAAGUCGGAUUAGCUAGUUGGUAGGGUAACGGCCUACCAAGGCGACAAUCCGUAGCUGGUCUGAGAGGACGACCAGCCACACUGGGACUGAGACACGGCCCAGACUCCUACGGGAGGCAGCAGUGGGGAAUAUUGGACAA
rnacentral:rRNA from 1 species